GAUGAACGCUGGCGGCGUGCCUAAUACAUGCAAGUCGAGCGAACGGACGAGAAGCUUGCUUCUCUGAUGUUAGCGGCGGACGGGUGAGUAACACGUGGAUAACCUACCUAUAAGACUGGGAUAACUUCGGGAAACCGGAGCUAAUACCGGAUGAUAUUUUGAACCGCAUGGUUCAAAAGUGAAAGACGGUCUUGCUGUCACUUAUAGAUGGAUCCGCGCUGCAUUAGCUAGUUGGUAAGGUAACGGCUUACCAAGGCAACGAUGCAUAGCCGACCUGAGAGGGUGAUCGGCCACACUGGAACUGAGACACGGUCCAGACUCCUACGGGAGGCAGCAGUAGGGAAUCGGCCGCAAUGGGCGAAAGCCUGACGGAGCAACGCCGCGUGAGUGAUGAAGGUCUUCGGAUCGUAAAACUCUGUUAUUAGGGAAGAACAGAUGUGUAAGUAACUGUGCACAUCUUGACGGUACCUAAUCAGAAAGCCACGGCUAACUACGUG
rnacentral:rRNA from 1 species